CUAUCUGCNAGUCGAGCGAGUGAACUACUGAACCCUUCGGGGUGNUGUUAGUGGAUCUAGCGGCGGACGGGUGAGUAACACGUGGGCAACCUGCCUGUAAGACUGGGAUAACUCGCGGAAACGCGAGCUAAUACCGGAUAACACUUUGAACCACAUGGUUCGAAGAUGAAAGGCGGCGCAAGCCGUCACUUACAGAUGGGCCCGCGGCGCAUUAGCUAGUUGGUGAGGUAACGGCUCACCAAGGCGACGAUGCGUAGCCGACCUGAGAGGGUGAUCGGCCACACUGGGACUGAGACACGGCCCAGACUCCUACGGGAGGCAGCAGUAGGGAAUCUUCCGCAAUGGACGAAAGUCUGACGGAGCAACGCCGCGUGAGUGAUGAAGGUUUUCGGAUUGUAAAACUCUGUUGUUAGGGAAGAACAAGUCGGGUAGUAACUGACCCGACCUUGACGGUACCUAACCAGAAAACCCCGGCUAACUACGUGCCAGCAGCCGCGGUAAUACGUAGGGGGCAAGCGUUGUCCGGAAUUUUUGGGCGUNAANGCGCGCGCAGGCGGUCCUUUAAGUCUGAUGUGAAAGCCCCNGCUUAACCGUGGAGGGUCAUUGGAACUGGG
rnacentral:rRNA from 1 species